UGCGUAGGCGGACCUUCAAGUCGGAUGUGAAAACUAUAGGCUCAACUUAUAGCUUGCAUUCGAUACUGUCGGUCUUGAGUGAAUUAGAGGAAUGCGGAAUUCCAGGUGUAGCGGUGAAAUGCGUAGAUAUCUGGAGGAACACCAGUAGCGAAGGCGGCAUUCUGGGAUUAUACUGACGCUGAAGCACGAAGGCUAGGGGAGCAAACAGGAUUAGAUACCCUGGUAGUC
rnacentral:rRNA from 1 species